UAAUACAAAGAAGUUUCAUUGUAAAUAUUUAAAUGCAAAAAGGUAUUUAUUGAAAAAUAAAAAAUAAAAGAUUGGACUUUAACAACAUAAAUUAAUCAUUAAACUUCUAUUUGUUGUUUCUAGCUUAGAAGAAAAAAUAUGGCUGACAUUAUUAAGUUUGUAUAUUUAAUGAUCCUCUUCUUUUCCUUAUUUCUUGUACUUGGCAUAAAUGGUAAACCAUCCUCGUAUCUUUCAAUUUUUAUUUAUUUGUUAUUUAUUUUUCAAUUAUAUCUAUAAUGGUUGAAAAAACACUACAGAGAAAAGAGUGUCAAUGGUACUCCUAAGAUUAAAUUUUAAGUAAUAACAGUUUCUUCUUUUGUAAAAUUAUAGGAAGGAGGCAAAAUUGCAAGGAGCAUUCUGAUUGUGCAAACUAUUUUUGUGUAACUCCUUAUGUUCCAAAAUGCCUUUAUUUGAAAUGUAGAUGUCGUCUAUUAGAUGGUAAAUUAAUGUUGAGAGAUUGAUAUUGAAACUAAUAGCAAUUAAUUUUAUUUGCUUCUAAGCCUACUAAUUUAUUUGCAUGUCAUAUUGUUAGUUACUUAUUUUAUUUCUCUCACACUUUAGUUUAGAUUUUGUUCUCUAUGGGACGAUAUGAAGAAAAACAGUCAUCACUAUGUCAGACUUGGCUUUUAACUUCAUUUAUUUUCUCUUUUAGAAUGUUUUAAUGAGCUAUUGAAGAUAGAGCUCUUUAAAAUCUUGAUAAAAUUAGAUCUCUUUUAAAUCGUUGUAGUAGAUAGGAAAAGGAACACGCUAUUAAACAUGGUUAAGUUUUAUUUUAUUUGACAGGAAAAUGACAACACUUUUAAACAAAAGUGAUGUAGUAGCCUUUUAUAAAAAAAAACACUAAUGAAGUUUUAUGAGUUGUUUUUUUUUAGUUUUCUUUAUCAAAAUAAUUAAGUUUUUUUAAAAAAAUUCACAAACAACCAUGUUUCCUCAUUAAUUUUCAAAGUAAAUUGAUGUUUGCAUUAGAAAAAGUAGAGCUAACACCAAUUAAAUUGACUACAGCAUAUGAAGGCGUCAAUUGAAUUGGCGAAAUUGCAUGGGAAGUAGAUGGAGGCACCAAUUAAAUGAGCGACCAUGUACAAGAAGUAAGUGCAUGUGCCAAUUGAAUUGACGACUGUGUACAAAAGACAUAAGUUCAGUCUUAUCAAAUCUUGUACAUAGUCGUCAAUUCAAUUGGCAUUUAAAUUUACUUUCUGUACACAAUCGCCAAUUCAAUUGACGACUCCAUCUACUUGUCAUGCAGUAUCGCCUUGACGCCUCCAUAUGCAGUCGCUAAUUCAAUUAGUGUUAACUCUAUUUUUUCUAAUGUUGACACCAAUUGAAUUGACAUGUGCUAUGCGUUGCCAAUUUUGUUUGUACGAAACAUAGGUGCUUUGGGAAUUAGUGGAGAAACUUGGUUAUUUGACAAUUUUUUUUUUAAAACGACUAGUUAUUUUGAUUAAAAAAUUCAAACUUUGUUGGCUGAAAGGAAUAAUCCUUUUUCAAGAAUGAGCUUUCAAAUAGCAUGGACAUUGGUGUUAGAAGAAGCGGGAGAGUGACAAGGCUUGGUCUGGAUUUGGGAUAUUGUUUAAGAAAGUGCGAUAUGGUUCAAUGUAGUGAGGACACUUUCAUUUGGUUGCGCGACAAUAAUUAUUUCUCAAUUAAGAGCAAUUACAGGUUCCUUUCCCUACUAAAAAUAACAUAUCUUAUCUCGGAUGUGAAAUGGAUUUUAGCUAGGUUACACAAAUGGCGAUAUGAAAUCUAUCCACUUUAUCUCUCGGUUAUUUAAAAAUAGAGGUUAUAAUGGAAAAGGUCAUUGGUUCAAUCCUUAGCAAUAGCAUAUUUUUAUUUUCAAAAUUCGUGUCACUUUACCUUUCGAAUUUAUUUAAAAUUUGAGGUAAUAAAUUAUGUUGGUACGUCGGUUUUACUUAAUAACUGAGGGAUUAAAUCUUAUCUAUUGUCAUAUAUAAUUUGUUUUAAAGCUCAUUUUGACUGGCUUGUAUCAUGUUUUACACAUAAGCAAAAUAUUGACAGAAUCAUAAUCAAAUCAUUUUAAAUGCACAAAUUGACAUUGUUCUCAUCAAUACAUAAUACAAGAUUUACAUUGUUUUCAAAAUCAAAUGUGCAAAUUUACAUUGUUCUCAUCAACAUAAUAUAUAAGAUUUACAUUGUGUUCAAAAUCA
rnacentral:lncRNA from 1 species